GUGUGAAACAAAUCUAGUUGAAUUUGUGAAAACAAACGAGUGCUUCAGGUCGAAGGAACAUCGACUGUGUGAAACCAGCCACACGAGAUAGAAAAUUUGGACUGAUAUACCAAAUGCACUGAAAUAAGGAGUGUUGAAACGAAAGAGGAAGAGCCGUUACGUGAUAGAUAUUCGCGGAAUAAAUGUGCUCCAAGUAUAGGAUUGACACUGAUUGCAGCUUCAUCAUGGCAGUAUUUUGAAGCAUUAAAGAUUUUGUAAACACUUGUCAGCAAAUGAAGGACUGCCAGCAACUACGACCCUGAACGAUCAGUUCUCAGCACAAAAAUAUUGAUCUUCGCGACAUUAAGCUGAUGGUGAAAACAAUGCAUGCAGCAAAACCUCCGAAACAUGAUUCAUUCGCAAAAAAAAAACCUUGAUGAAAUAACCAUACCGUUAUUCAUCUGCAUGAGACUGUUGACCUCAGUGAGUCCUAAAAUGAUCACAAUUGUUGAGGAAUGAAAAAAAAACGCCAUGUUAUCGAUUUUUUAAUUUUUUAUUCAUAGUUAUCUAGUUUAAUUAUCUAUUAUAUAACCGGUGAGUGUGUCACGUAGCUUAUACGAAGCCUUAUUGGAAAUGUUCUUAUUUAUAUUUCUGCUGCUGACAAAUCCAUAAGAAGUAUAACUUGAGCACACCAUUCUCUCGAAUUCAUAGAACUUUCACAACCCUCUUCACUUAUGAAGUUGUGAAGCGCCGUUGCGAUUUUCUCCACCAGAUGCAUCGAAGUCAGGACAUAAUCGCGGUCUCUUUGUCGCAUCAGCAUACCAAAAAUCCUAUUCGCGUUUCUAGUUCCAAAGGCAAAUUCACCAUCUACGGUAGUCAGUGUCUCGCAUAUUAUUUCAUUAUUUCAGGUAGUACGAUGACGGCUGCUCUCCGAU